GUGCUUAACACAUGCAAGUCGAGUGCGCGCCCGUAGCAAUACGGGUGGCGCACGGCGCACGGGUGCGUAACACGUGGGCAAUCUGCCCUCGGAUGGGGGAUAACCCCGCGAAAGCGGGGCUAAUACCGCAUGACAUUCCGGAGACCCCGGUCUCUGGACUCAAAGGCCGCAAGGCCGUCUGAGGAGGAGCCCGCGCCCGAUUAGCUAGUUGGUGAGGUCACGGCUCACCAAGGCAAUGAUCGGUAGCCGGUCUGAGAGGAUGGCCGGCCACACUGGAACUGAGACACGGUCCAG
rnacentral:rRNA from 1 species